GAGAUCAAAUCAAGAAGAUUAAAUGCUACCUCGAUGUUGAAUUAAGAAAACAUCUAAUAGAAGAAAAUUAGAUUAUAGGUCUGUUCGACCUUUAAAUUCUUACAUGAUUUGAGUUAAGACCGGUGUGAGCCAGGUUGGUUUCUAUCUUCAUAAUAGAGGUUUUUAUAGUACGAAAGGACCUAAAAACUUAAUUUUAUUAAUUAAUUAGCUUAUAAAAAGCAAGUAUUUUGAAAAUACUAGAAAGAUUUAAGAAUUUAUUAAUUUUAUGU
rnacentral:misc_RNA from 1 species